GCAGCUCCUUGCUCUCGCUGUGUUUGUUGCAGCCUUCCUGGCUCAGGUUUGUGCUGAAGAGGCAGUGUCCGUCUCUAAGACUCGGAAGGACGGGGGUCUGUCUCGCUACAUGCUGCUCAUCAACAAGGAGGAGCAGCUGGCGACAGAGCACGUGUGGACCGGAAAAGACUCAGCCACUGUCAUCUUCGACUACAAGAAUGGGAUCAUCGCAUACAGGAUUUUCGACGGCCAGGCGUGUUACGCAGCCAAAAUGAACCGGAACACCUUCCCUGCUCUGGAUAAGCUCAGAGAGACUCUGGACAAC